rnacentral:rRNA from 1 species
UACGAAGGGGGCUAGCGUUGCUCGGAAUCACUGGGCGUAAAGGGUGCGUAGGCGGGUCUUUAAGUCAGAGGUGAAAUCCUGGAGCUCAACUCCAGAACUGCCUUUGAUACUGAGGAUCUUGAGUAUGGGAGAGGUGAGUGGAACUGCGAGUGUAGAGGUGAAAUUCGUAGAUAUUCGCAAGAACACCAGUGGCGAAGGCGGCUCACUGGCCCAUUACUGACGCUGAGGCACGAAGGUCAGGGGAGCAAACGGG